AUUGUCCGGAUACUUUUUGGGAGAGAUCACAGAAUAAAACGCUACAAUGUAAACAAGAAUAAUCUUGUCCUCUGCUGUAUUUAAUCUUUCAUUAUUUUUCAUCAGACACGUGGUGCAUUUUCAUUGAGAGAAGAGGCAAUCUUGCUUGUCAUUUGCACAAUUUAUAUUUCAAGCAAAAAAAUUUAUUUGCAGUUUUAACUAAACAUAUAAUAUUUACUUGCAAGUGAAUCUAUGUUACUAACUAGAUGUCUAGUAAUAUGCCUCGAUCCUGGAUGAUAUUUUAGACCCAGAUUGAUCAAAGUCUGGC
rnacentral:lncRNA from 1 species